AGAGUUUGAUCCUGGCUCAGAUUGAACGCUGGCGGCAUGCCUAACACAUGCAAGUCGAACGGAAACGAUGGGAGCUUGCUCCCAGGCGUCGAGUGGCGGACGGGUGAGUAAUACUUAGGAAUCUACCCAGUAGCGGGGGACAACUCGAGGAAACUCGAGCUAAUACCGCAUACGCCCUACGGGGGAAAGCAGGGGAUCUUCGGACCUUGCACUAUUGGAUGAGCCUAAGUCGGAUUAGCUUGUUGGUGAGGUAAAGGCUCACCAAGGCGACGAUCCGUAGCUGGUCUGAGAGGACGAUCAGCCACACUGGGACUGAGACACGGCCCAGACUCCUACGGGAGGCAGCAGUGGGGAAUAUUGGACAAUGGGGGCAACCCUGAUCCAGCAAUGCCGCGUGUGUGAAGAAGGCCUGCGGGUUGUAAAGCACUUUCAGUAGAGAAGAAAAGCCUACGGUUAAUACCCGUGAGUCUUGACGUUACCUACAGAAGAAGCUCCGGCUAACUCCGUGCCAGCAGCCGCGGUAAUACGGAGGGAGCGAGCGUUAAUCGGAAUUACUGGGCGUAAAGCGCGCGUAGGCGGCUUUGUAAGUCGGAUGUGAAAGCCCUGGGCUCAACCUGGGAAUGGCAUUCGAUACUGCAGAGCUAGAGUAUGGUAGAGGGAAGUGGAAUUUCCGGUGUAGCGGUGAAAUGCGUAGAUAUC
rnacentral:rRNA from 1 species